rnacentral:rRNA from 1 species
CUACGAAAGGUGCAAGCGUUGUUCGGAUUUACUGGGCGUAAAGAGAGUGUAGGUUGUUUAUUAAGUCGGAUGUGAAAUCCCGGGGCUCAACCUCGGAACUGCAUUCGAUACUGAUAGGCUAGAGUUUGGGAGGGGUAAGCGGAAUUCCGUGCGUAGCAGUGAAAUGCGUAGAUAUACGGAGGAACACCUGAGGCGAAGGCGGCUUACUGGACCAAUACUGACACUGAGACUCGAAAGCGUGGGUAGCAAACAGGAUUAGAAACCCCAGUAGUCC